UACGGAGGGUGCAAACGUUGCUCGGAAUCAUUGGGCGUAAAGCGCACGUAGGCGGUCUGUUAAGUCGGCUGUGAAAGUCAGGGGCUCAACCCUUGAAAGCCGACCGAUACUGUCGGACUAGAGUCCGGAAGAGGCAAGUGGAAUUCCCGGUGUAGCGGUGAAAUGCGCAGAUAUCGGGAGGAACACCAAUGGCGAAGGCAGCUUGCUGGGACGGUACUGACGCUGAGGCGCGAAAGCGUGGGGAGCAAACAGG
rnacentral:rRNA from 1 species